rnacentral:snRNA from 1 species
GUCCCUUUGGGGACAUCAGAUAAAUUGGAACAAUACAUAACAGAUUAGUGUUGCCCUUCGGCAAGGACAUGCACAAAAAUGGUCAACAAAUUUUC